rnacentral:rRNA from 1 species
UACGAAGGGGGCUAGCGUUGCUCGGAAUUACUGGGCGUAAAGGGCGCGUAGGCGGACAGUUAAGUUGGGGGUGAAAGCCCGGGGCUCAACCUCGGAACUGCCUUCAAUACUGGCUGUCUUGAGUACGGGAGAGGUGUGUGGAACUCCGAGUGUAGAGGUGAAAUUCGUAGAUAUUCGGAAGAACACCAGUGGCGAAGGCGACUGACUGGACAAGUAUUGACGCUGAGGAGCGAAAGCAUGGGGAGCAAACAGG